AAUCAAAAAAAUUUCUCUCUAUUUUUUUCGGUCUAUUUUUUCUUAAUUCAAAUAACAUACAAAUAAUUUUAUUUUUCUUUUUAUUUUCUUUCCUCUCAUAUUUUCUUUCCUAUAUCCAAUCCAAACAAAGUCGUAACUUAAAAUUGAAUAAUACAAUUAUCGGGCUAGUUAUUUCAUCUAAUUAUCGGGCUAAACUAGCCCCAUACAAUGUAGGAUAAAUGUCUAUGCCUAUAAUAUACAUGACAGAAUAUGGAUCCAAGAAACUUCAGGCCUUCAUAGUCUAAUCAAGCAAGUUGAAAUCUUUUACGGGGCCAAUCUACACUUUGCUCAAACCACGUGCGAAGCCACCUAACCUGAACAACCUAGUAAAACAAGUUAAUAAUCAUAAUCAAUAUGAGAAAGUAGCAAAAUCCCAGUUGUUACAAUUAAAGCUCACAGUUAUCAAGUGGAAAAAAAGGAAUCACAAAAUUAGGGAUUUCAUGGACUAUAGAUCUGGCGAAAAAUAAAGAAAACCGGAUCCCAUAUAACUUAUUAAUUAACACCGUGUUUGUUAGAUGAUGUAUGGAACGAGGGAGGGAAGUAAAGGAACUCGGUGGAAAAAACCACCACCCACCGUUCCCAUCUCUCGUUCCAUACAUCUCUACCAAACAGCGCGUCAACAGAGAGCAUGGAUCUAGGGUUUCGGUGAGGCUCAGAUUUGGCUCAACAAAAGGAUCGACCUUCGAAAAGCAACGCCAUCCAUGGAUGGCUGCAACUGAUUAGGUUACCACGCCACCGGCGAACGUUGCUUAACGGCGACCGAUCCUUCGAUUCCACACUCCGCAACCAUCGUCACGGCCUCUUUGAGAUCGGAGACACUGAGAGAGAGUGAAAGUAAGGAAACAGAAAAGCUUAGCUAUCAUAAUCAAAGGUACAUAGAUAGAUAUAUAGAUAGAUAUCGAUAACCGGACUAAGAGAGAGAGAGAGAGAAAGAAAGACAGUAAUUAAUUUAUUUAUUUAUUUUAUUUCAUUCCUUAUGUACUCCAUUUUGGAAGGUUUGAGAAGUUAGGGUUUUUUGAGAGCAUCAACUAGACAGAGCCAGUUCAGAGGCGGAGUGCGGUAGGUAAAAAACCCUAAUCCUG
rnacentral:lncRNA from 1 species